AUGCGUCAGUACUGGUGGGGUGUUGAGAAAGAAAAAAACAAGAUGGCGUGGCUCAAUUGGGAUAAAAUGAGGUUACCAAAAUCAAUGGGUGGUCUCGGGUUCAGAGAUAUGAGAGCGUUUAAUCAGGCGCUUCUUGCUAAGCAGGCCUGGCGCCUCAUUGAUACUCCGGAAAGUCUAUGUGCCAGAUUGUUGAAGUCCAAGUAUUAUCCCUCAGGCAGCCUGUUAGAUACGGUUUUCCCCAACCAUGGGUCGGCGGUCUGGAAGGGUAUAUUACAUGGACUCGAGUUAUUAAAGACAGGAGUUAUUUGGCGAGUGGGUAAUGGUUCAAAUAUAAGAACCUGGAGGGAUCCAUGGAUACCGAGAGCAUCUUCGUUCCGACCUAUAACACCAAAGCGCACGUCC
rnacentral:rRNA from 1 species